rnacentral:rRNA from 1 species
GGACUACUCGGGUUUCUAAUCCUGUUUGCUCCCCUAGCUUUCGUUCCUCAGUGUCAGUUGCGAUCCAGUCAGCCGCCUUCGCCACGGGUGUUCCUGCAGAUAUCUACGCAUUUCACCGCUACACCUGCAAUUCCACUGACCUCUCUCGCACUCGAGCGCGGCAGUUUUGAAAGCAGCCUCUGGGUUAAGCCCAGAGAUUUCACUUCCAACUUGCCGCACCACCUACGAACCCUUUACACCCAGUAAUUCCGAACAACGCUGGCCCCCUACGUCUUACCGCGGCUGCUGGCAC